UGGUGGCGCACGCCUGUGACUCCAGCUUCGGAGGGCGGGUUGGCAUCUGGUGGGCGUGGGUUUGGGCUCGAGCCCGUGGCAAUUGGUGCGGCAAGUUCGACAAAUGACUCACAAGCUUGUGUGUCGCAAAUCGUGUCCACCAAGAGAUAAGAAGGUUGGUCUCGUGUGAUCUGUUAGUUGCUCAUAUGCUGCGCGGGCUCACGCUCCCAGCCGAGCAGGCAACUACGAUCCCUUCCGCCUCCCAUGAGAAGCUCGCUUAAAACCCUGCCCUAUCCUCUAUGCCAACCUUUUUACACAUACUUGAG
rnacentral:lncRNA from 1 species